CGGGUCAGAUCAAAUGUUCUGCCUGGCAGACGCGCUGGUCUGCGGAAACAAGCACUCCGCGCCCCUGAUCUCGCGAACCCCACCCGCAACAACCCCGAUUUACGGAUCUAUUUCACCCGACGUUGAUGUGGCCCACCUAUGCUCUGGCGCCGAAGGGGACGGCGGCCAGAAGAACAACGAGUCUCGGAGGAGGACAAGCGGCGGCCGUAGCUGGUGGUCAACUGGGAGAGCGCGCUCCUGUCGCUGCAGAGGAAGAAGUAGUGCGCUCGCCGCGGCCCUUCACCGCGUCCGCCGCCUUCCCUCACUCCCGCGCCGCGAGCAACCUCACCGGCCGGAUCCCCUCGAUCUGGACAGGCCGUUACCACAUCCUUCAAGGUAAACGGACUCCGUGUAAACUGCCUCCACCACGCCCCACUUCUCGCACUUCGUUUGCUGCCUGAAUGCGACCACCGCCGAUCCAUUUACGUGCGGACGCGCCAGCCUUAACGGCAUCUCCUUCCACUUGCUGGCGUACUCCUCACGUGGACGCCUGCCACGAUCUGGAUGUCGAGCCGCCUCAAUAGCCUGGCGCCACCCAUGAAUUAGGUAGUUGUUGUUUUUCCCCUUUAUAUUCCAUAGAAGAUGCAACUCCAAAUGAUUUGCUUUAUGUAUAACUACUGCACAAGCCAGCAUGUUCAGGUUUGAUCUCAGCGUAUCUUGUAUCAUUGGCCUAAUUACUUGGCUGUGGAAGGAGACAAUGAUUGUGGAAUUAGUGGCUUCUCCUUGAUGAUGCUCUAUGACACAACAAUGCUAAACAGUGAAUUGGAACUUUUCAUAGCAAGUGGGUGGUGGAUCGGUUGAUCUGAUUUGAGAGGAUUGUGAUUUGAUUUUCGGACCUCUUGCAGCUUGAGGACGAGGAAGAGAUGGAUCUGCCUCUGGUGGUGGGAGACAGACAAUGCCUUUUGGUGCUAUUGCAUAACGCAAGCUCCGGUGCCGCCGCGAUGUUGGUAUGCAAAGAGGACGCAAACAUUACAGCUCUGAACUCCACAACAUACAUUGCUCUCAUUCUGUUGCUAUUGUUGUGGAGCGCUGAGGAUGCACGCGCCACGGAUGCCGUGUCUUCCAGUCAGGAGACGCGAAAUCUGCCACUGCCAGGUCUCUAUGUGCGCUGGUAUGCUUUGUGUGUGACUUAAAGUUUGGCAACUGGCAUGAUGUGAGAAAAAACAUCAGUGGAUACUGCUCAUCAAUUGCUGACAGUUGGUUUGUUACUUUAGACCAACGAGUGAAUCCACAGUUGGAUUGCAGCAUGCAGCAAGGUGAGCAACCAAUAAUCAUCGUGAGAUUUCUUUUCUGAAUGCCGAAGAAAGCUACCGAGCAAGUUCAUGUAUGUACAACACUUCUAAUUGUUGCUUUUAGAGAAGCCCCAGUUGUAGGUCAUAAAUUGCUUGGAAAAAUGAAACAUCGAUGCUAGAAUCCUGACGAGACUAU